rnacentral:rRNA from 1 species
UACGGGGGGGGCAAGCGUUGUUCGGAAUUACUGGGCGUAAAGCGCACGUAGGCGGAUCUUUAAGUCAGGGGUGAAAUCCUGGAGCUCAACUCCAGAACUGCCUUUGAUACUGGGGAUCUCGAGUCCGGGAGAGGUGAGUGGAACUGCGAGUGUAGAGGUGAAAAUUCGUAGAUAUUCGGAAGAACACCAGUGGCGAAGGCGGCUCACUGGACUGGUAUUGACGCUGAGGUGCGAA